CUCCGGUGAUCCCUGCCGGACCCGACUGCUAUCAGAGUGGGACUAAGCCAUGCGAGUCGACGUAGCAAUGCGUGGCGAACGGCUCAGUAACACGUAGUCAACAUGCCCAGGGGACGUGGAUAACCUCGGGAAACUGAGAAUAAACCACGAUAGGUCACGAUUUCUGGAAUGGAUCAUGGCCUAAAUCUACAUGGCCCCUGGAUUGGACUGCGGCCGAUCAGGCUGUUGGUGAGGUAAUGGCCCACCAAACCUAUAACCGGUACGGGCUCUGAGAGGAGAAGCCCGGAGAUGGGCACUGAGACAAGGGCCCAGGCCCUAUGGGGCGCAGCAGGCGCGAAACCUCUGCAAUAGGCGAAAGCCUGACAGGGUUACUCUGAGUGAUUUCCGCUAAGGGGAUCUUUUGGCACCUCUAAAAAUGGUGCAGAAUAAGGGGUGGGCAAGUCUGGUGUCAGCCGCCGCGGUAAUACCAGCACCCCGAGUGGUCGGGACGAUUAUUGGGCCUAAAGCAUCCGUAGCCGGUUCUGCAAGUCUUCCGUUAAAUCCAGCCGCUCAACGGAUGGGCCGCGGAGGAUACUACAGGACUAGGAGGCGGGAGAGGCAAGCGGUACUCAGUGGGUAGGGGUAAAAUCCUUUGAUCCAUUGAAGACCACCAGUGGCGAAGGCGGCUUGCCAGAACGCGCUCGACGGUGAGGGAUGAAAGCUGGGGGAGCAAACCGGAUUAGAUACCCGGGUAGUCCCAGCUGUAAACGAUGCAGACUCGGUGAUGGGCUAGCCUUGUGCCAGCCCAGUGCCGCAGGGAAGCCGUUAAGUCUGCCGCCUGGGGAGUACGGUCGCAAGACUGAAACUUAAAGGAAUUGGCGGGGGAGCA
rnacentral:rRNA from 1 species